AUGGGCCCCACACUUCUCUGCCUGGCAGCCCUGUGUGUUCUGGGAGCAGGCUCCAUGGAUGCCAGGGUCACCCAGACUCCAAGACAGCUGGUCAGAGGAACAAAACAGAAAGCAAGGAUGGACUGUGUCCCCAUGAAAGGACAUGACUAUGUUAACUGGUAUCGUCAGAAGCUGGGGAAAGAGCUGGAGUUUUUGAUUUACUUUAACAAUGAAAAAGCCUUGGAUACAUCAGGGAUGCCCAAGGAGCGGUUUUCAGCUCAGUGUCCCAAGAACUCUCCCUGUAGCAUGGAGAUCAACUCCACGGAGCCCGAGGACUCAGCUGUGUAUUUCUGUGCCAGCAGCCUGUCCACACGAAGCCACGGAGACCUCUACUUUGGGGAGGGGACCAAGCUGACCGUGCUGGAGGACCUGGGCAAGGUGAGCCCACCCAAGGUGACUGUCUUUGAGCCCUCCGAGGCAGAGAUCUCCCGCACCCAGAAGGCCACCCUCGUGUGCCUGGCCACGGGCUUCUACCCCGACCACGUGGAGCUGCGCUGGUGGGUGAACGGCAAAAAGGCCCUCAGCGGGGUGGCCACGGACCCCCAGCCCCUGAAGGAGCAGCCUGGCGACGAGGACUCCAAGUACUGCCUGAGCAGCCGUCUGAGGGUGUCGGCCGCCUUCUGGCACAACCCGCGCAACCACUUCCGCUGUGAGGUCCAGUUCUACGGGCUCGAGGACGACGAGGAGUGGACGCUGAAGGGGCCCAAGCCUGUCACCCAGAACAUCAGUGCAGAGGCCUGGGGCCGAGCAGACUGUGGCCUCACCUCUGCCUCCUACCAGCAGGGAGUCCUGUCGGCCACUGUCCUCUACGAGGUCCUGCUGGGGAAAGCUGCCCUGUACGCUGUGCUGGUCAGCGCCCUUGUGCUGAUGGCCAUGGUCAAGAGAAAGGAUUCCUGA